UACAGAGGUCUCGAGCGUUGUUCGGAUUCAUUGGGCGUAAAGGGCGCGUAGGCGGUGCGGCAAGUUGGGAGUGAAAUCUCUGGGCUUAACCCAGAGGCUGCUUCCAAAACUGCUGUGCUUGAGUGUGGGAGAGGCGCGUGGAAUUGCAGGUGUAGCGGUGAAAUGCGUAGAUAUCUGCAGGAACACCCGUGGCGAAAGCGGCGCGCUGGACCACUACUGACGCUGAGGAACGAAAGCUAGGGGAGCAAACAGG
rnacentral:rRNA from 1 species